rnacentral:lncRNA from 1 species
CUGAAUGACACCCAUCCCCUUUCUCUCUCACAAACACAGCCUCACCAACCCUAGAUUCUCCUAAACCCUAUCGGAGCCACCAUCACCAUCUCCCCUUUCUUGCAUUCUGCUCUUCUCCUCGCGUCGCCAGAAGCUAAGGUCGGCUGUUGUUGGCGUCGCCGUUUCCCUGUCCGAACUCUCUCUGUCGCUUUUUUUUUGCUCCUUCACCGUUGGUCAUCACCGCUUCUUUGCUCCUCGCCGUGAGUCGUCGCUGCUUCUCCCCUCCUUGCCGUGCGUCGUUUCUGCUUCUCCCAUCCUCGCCGUUUUUGGCUGUGGCCCCUUCUCUACUCCCUGCCAAUCUUGUCGUCGCUGCUUCUCUGCUCCACACCGUGUCUCACCGUCAUUGCUACCCUAUUUCACGUUACUGAAGUUCCAAAUUUGAAUUUCUCUGUCUCUCUGCUCUCUGGCUCUAUGCUGUCUUUUCCUCCCCAUUGCUGCCAAUCCAGAUAACGUAAAAACCUCCCCUUUGUCCUCUUCAAUAAUGUUCAAUUUGUUGUAAUUGUAUUAUAUUGUUUUCUUCUUCGUUUUGUUCUGAAUAUACAUAUGAUGUAUUAUUGAUGUUUCUGCUGAGUGUUGAGAUAUUAAUUUUCUUAAGUUUUAUUUGAAUUCAGUCAGUUGAUGUUGAAUUAAUUCUGCUGAGAUGGAGUUAUACAUUAAAUUUGUUUUAAGUUUAAUUUAUUAAUUAUGCCGAGAAUGAUUUUUGCUGAGAUUGAUAUGAAUUAAUUCUGGUGGGAUUGAGUUAUAAAUCCAAUCUGUUUUACUUGUUAUUUUGCUGUCAUUGAUUCAAAAGAGAAACAUAGCUACAAUUCUGCAUUGGAUUUACUAUAUGCCUUCAAAAUAAGGGUUUGGUGAAGUUCAAACAAGGAGAUAGUUUACUCAUAGGAAAAGAGAAUGAAGUUAAGAAGCAAAGAACAAAAAGAUUACCUAAUUUAUGAAAAUGGAAAAUUCAGGAAUGGAAACCUAAUUUAUAAAGGUUAUUUAUGCUUCUUUAUUGUGUUUUUGUCUUGUUUAGUUAAUUUAAUUGUUCAGUUUUUUUGUGUUCUGGGCUUCUUACUGUGCUGUGGAAUUACUUCUUCCAGCUCAAAUUGUACACUAUACUGAUUUCUUUUCCACCUUGCACCAUACUAAAAUUUGUGGCCUCAAAUUUUGCUUGCCUAUCUUCUGUUGUUAUAUCUGAAAAUGAUAUUGUUUGACCAAGUUUAGAAGUCUUAUUGCUAAUGUGUUAUAUAUACAUGAAGAUUAAGAAACUGAUAUUGUUUAAUUCAUACAAUGCUUUAAUUAUUCUGCACCCUAUCUCACAAUAUAUGUCACUUUGAAUUUUUAAUAAUUUUAAGUUAUAUACUUAUAUUUAAUUAAAUCGGUUCAACUACGGUUCGACUUUGGUUGAACCGUUGAAUUAUUAAACCAGUUACUUAACCGAUUCAUUAAUCGAUUCGGUUUUCACAACCUUGGUCCAAAUCUAAACACCACCAAUAAAAAUAGCAACAAUGAAUUAAAACAAAAGAAUUAAGUUAAAGAAUUUGAAAACUGAAGAAACCAACAAAAUUAAUACAUCAAUAGAUUCAAGGUUAAAAAAAAAAAAGCAACAUAUAGCUAUGAUCAUAAAACUUGGAGGUUAAUAGUAGAGACUGAUGCAUCCAAAAGGUCCCAAAACAAAUAUCAAGAAAAUAAUCAGAUCAAAACAAAAUAUCUGCAUACAAAAAAAUUGAGCACGAUCUCAAUAGCGAUCACCAUCAACCACCAGCAAUAACGACACUCCAAUUUUGCAUUGCACAGUAGAAGAAGAUUGCAGGCACAAAAACAAAAAUUAAUUAGAAUAACAUAACACGUUUAACGAAAGUGAUUCAAUUCAAAGUACUGAUAGUCAAGGUCACAUGUAUUGAAAAUAUGAACAACAUGAAAUAAAAAUAAUUGAAAACAUCAACAAAAAAAGAGCAUAAAAAAUUCAAGAAUAAAAGAGAGAACGCCACAUCAGCAGUCAAAUGCCAGGUUUUAAAAUUUAAGUAAAAAUUACAAAGCAGGAUUAUGACAUUAAUUUAGUUUUUUAGUGUCUUUAAGUUCUCAUCCUUUUUUGUAGGCAUAUGAUUGAGAAUAUAAUUUUGGUAUAAAAAUUUUAUAUAAUUUUAUUAUACAUUAAUUUUUAUCGUUUAUCAAAUAUUUCCCUAGAUUUUUUUAUNNNNNNNNNNNNNNNNNNNNNNNNNNNNNNUUAUUACAAAUAAAGAACAAAAUUCAAAUUUCUUAUAUUUAUUUAAAUAAACUAAUAAAUUAAUUAUUAGACCAAUCUAACUUGAUUAAUUUUUGUCCAUAUACAUAGUGGGCAGCAUAAUCAUAGCAACAAGUCAAAUAUUAUUAUUAUUGCGUAUUGUAAUUUUAUUUCCACUACCUCCAUGAAGGUGGAUUAUUCACAAGAUGCAGAAUGGACAAGAAGUAGCAGAUCACAAUGAAGGGCCAUUUUUAAUGGGUUUUUUUGGUAUUUUUCUUUCUCUUUAUCCUUUGCAAUAUGGUGGCAAAUAAAAUGAAGCCACGCUACACUACUUUGGGUGUGUUUGGCAAACACGUUGGGGCGGAGAGAAGCACGUUUGAGUUUCUUGAAAGCUUCACUCUUAUGUUUGGCCAUUUUUAUCUUUAUGAACGCUCUGCCUCUGAACCCACGUUUAGGAGAAGCUCAAAUUUGUAGCUUCUGCGUUUCACGUUUUACGUUCACGUUUAGAAGAAGCUCAA